UUCGUUUCAAUAUAUUUUUCU
rnacentral:snRNA from 1 species